rnacentral:rRNA from 1 species
ACGGCUCAGUAACACGUGGACAACCUACCCUCGGGUCCGGCAUAAUCCUGGGAAACUGGGGAUAAUUCCGGAUAGGUCACAGAAGCUGGAAUGCUCUGUGGCCCAAAGCUCCGGCGCCCGAGGAUGGGUCUGCGGCCUAUCAGGGUUGUAGUGGGUGUAAUGUACCUACUAGCCUACGACGGGUACGGGUUGUGAGAGCAAGAGCCCGGAGAUGGAUUCUGAGACACGAAUCCAGGCCCUACGGGGUGCAGCAGGCGCGAAAACUUUACAAUGCGGGAAACCGUGAUAAGGGAAUCUCGAGUGCCAGCAUAUAAUGUUGGCCGUCCAGAUGCCUAAAAAGCAUCUGUUAGCAAGGGCCGGGCAAGACCGGUGCCAGCCGCCGCGGUAACACCGGCGGCCCGAGUGGUAACCGCUAUUAUUGGGUCUAAAGGGUCUGUAGCCGGCCAGGUAAGUCCCUUGGGAAAUCUGGCAGCUCAACUGUCAGGCUGCUAGGGGAUACUGUUUGGCUUGGGACCGGGAGAGGUGAGAGGUACCUUGGGGGUAGGGGUGAAAUCUUGUGAUCCUCGGGGGACCACCAGUGGCGAAGGCGUCUCACCAGAACGGGUCCGACGGUAAGGGACGAAAGCUAGGGGCACGAACCGGAUUAGAUACCCGGGUAGUCCUAGCCGUAAACGAUGCUCGCUAGGUGUCAGUCACGGUGCGACCGUGAUUGGUGCCGUAGGGAAGCCGUGAAGCGAGCCACCUGGGAAGUAUGGCCGCAAGGCUGAAACUUAAAGGAAUUGGCGGGGGAGCAC